CGAGUGUUAUAAUAGUGAUAGUUUAUUAUCGUGUUUGUUUUUAAUUAUCUAUAUAAAUAUAAUAUAUUUAUUGUUGACGUGAUUUGUCGUUAUUUUCAUUCGUUAAGAUAAUUAAUACACAUUGUCUAUACUUUACAAUAUCAAAUAAUAUUUUCUCGUUCAUCAUGUCUAACAACCGUAAUAAAUAUGAAAAAGCACGAAGAAGACUAGCUGCAGUUACUUUUUUAUCAAAUAUUUCGCUAGAUGGUAGCUUCAAAGAUCCAGAAAUAACUAAAGUAAUAGAUAAAUCAUCUAAUAAUGAUAAACCAGACUCGCCUUAUAAACCUGUUGAUACAUACACUGAUAAAGAUGUUUCUUUACGUGAUGGUAUCCGCAACAAAAACAAAGUUCCUCAAUCGAGCCCCAUUCGUUUCGGUGCUGAUAAUCAUUCUGUUAGUUCUGACUCUGAACAUGCUACAAUUACUCCAGUUAAGGGAGUUGUAACACAAUCAUUCAGAGAAAGAUGUUCUUCAGGAAAUAUGGAUUCAUUUAAGGAAAGACAUUCAUCUCGCAUAAAAAAGAAUCAUAUUGUAUCUGUUGGUGGUAUCAACACAGAUGAGAAGAGUAGCUCAGAGAGCUUAAACUUUGGUCGUUUUCGCACAAGUUCCACUUGUAUACCUGAAACUCGUGCAUUAACAAAGGAAGUUAGACUUAUACAUCCCACUAAAGGAAUAUCAUUUAGAGAUGAAAGGCUUGUUUUUGCUCCCUCUCAAGGAGUUCCCUGUGUUGUAUUUAGUACUAUACCAUAUUCAAAAACAAUUCGAAGUGCACGUUCAGACAUCCGUAAAGAUGGUGUUCGUAGACGAAAUACUUCUGGACCAAGACCUCUCUCAUCAAUUACGGACAAUGGUGUUGAUCCAUUCGAUCUUCUUGGAUUGGAGAAAGAAGAAAAUGGUCAAGAUAUAUCCUAUUCCAAAUUAUUGGUGCCCUCUAGAAUUUAUACAAGAGAACAAUAUAGAAAAAUGUAUGAAGGGGAUUUCAAUGACAAAGCCAAUUGGAAAAUCUUGAAUCGUCAUCCACAUGUAAUAGCUAGGACUAAGUUAUUGACGAGACACAAGGAUAAAAAAUGGUGCUUCUCAUAUGAAUCAUCACAAAGAACCAACGUAGCAACAUCGCCACCUCACUCUUCUAUCGAAAUGAAGACAUUCGAUUGGGACGAAGCAUCCCUAUUGGCGCAAAAAUAUGUACAAUACUGUCCAAAUGUACUAGACGAUCCAGAAUUGAUCGCGGGCAAGCAUCGUACCCUGCUUACAUUUACAUCGUAUAUGACAUCUAUUAUAGACUACGUACGGCCCCAAGACCUGAAAAAGGAAUUAAAUGAUAAAUUUAGGGAGAAAUUCCCACACAUCAAAUUAACUCUUAGCAAAUUGCGAAGUAUUAAAAAGGAAAUGCGUAAGAUAGCCAAACAUGACAGUGGUGGCAUUGAUUUACUAUCUGUAGCUCAAGCGUACGUGUAUUUUGAAAAACUAAUUUUGGCUAAUCUAAUUAAUAAAGACAAUAGAAAACUAUGCGCUGGAGCUUGUUUGUUACUUUCCGCUAAACUUAACGAUGUUAAAGGAGAAAUGUUAAAAGCACUUAUUGAGCGCAUAGAAACAACGUUUAGAGUGAAUCGAAAGGAUCUCAUGAAAUGUGAAUUUGCUGUUCUCGUGGCUUUAGAGUUUGGAUUGCAUGUUCCCCCUUACGAAGUGUUUCCUCAUUAUCAGCGAUUGCUACACGAUUCGUGACCCUGGCGCAGACUGGCUUUGGAGCCAUGCAUACGAGUCUGUCAUAGACGGCGUUCGAGCAUUGUCGACAAUUUCAGAGCAAGUGCCUGGAUGUAAAAUUAUGUUUCUUUAUUACUUAACUAUAAUAGUGCAGGUAUGUAGUUGAUAUAAGCACGAUAUUCUAUUCAUUCACGCGUAAACACAAGUAAAACCAGUUUAACAGUGAACGUGUGGGAUUUUUGACCUAAAUAUAAUUCACUAUAAUGAAAUUUA
rnacentral:misc_RNA from 1 species